AAAUGUGUCCACUGAACCUAUCAUUUAGAGGAAGGAGAAGUCGUAACAAGGUUUCCGUAGGUGAACCUGCGGAAAGGAUCAUUGUUGAUGCCCAUCGGAACAAAGACAGACGGAAGCGAACUUGUGAACCCUCGUUCUUGGCCCGCACGUCGGGGCGGCGCCCCGCACGUGUCGUGCAACGACGAACCAAAUCCCGGCGCAGGACGCGCCAAGCAACAAAGGAAGUUUUGAUUGCGGCAUCCUCUUCCCUGUCGGGCUGGAGGGCACGCAUCGAACACUUACGAGUCAGUACGACUCUCGGCAACGGAUAUCUCGGCUCUCGCAUCGAUGAAGAACGUAGCGAAAUGCGAUACUUGGUGUGAAUUGCAGAAUCCCGCGAACCAUCGAGUCUUUGAACGCAAGUUGCGCCCGAGGCCUUUCGGUCGAGGGCACAUCUGCUUGGGCGUUAAACAACUCGUCUCCCACCGCCUUCUCCCUCCGCAGUCCGAGCAAGGAGUCUGUCCGAGGCGAGAGGCAGGUUGGGUGGAGUCUGGUCGUCCGUGUGCCUGCAGCGCAUGCGGUUGGCUGAAAAGUGCCGGGCCAUGGGCUGCGUGCGGCUCAACGAGUGGUGGUUGUGCGCCCUCGCGAGGCCACGAUUGUCAGCACGUUGCGCCCGUUCGCUUCUCGAUUGCCCCGGCAAGUACCCAGCACAAUCGACACGUCCCAUUCCAGGGAAUCGAUUUGAAUUGCAACCCCCAAGUCAGGUGGGGACUACCCCGCCCAAGCUUAAGCAUAUCAGUAAGCCGGAAAGAAAUUU
rnacentral:rRNA from 1 species